rnacentral:rRNA from 1 species
GAUGAACGCUGGCGGCGUGCCUAAUACAUGCAAGUCGAGCGAACUGAUUAGAAGCUUGCUUCUAUGACGUUAGCAGCGGACGGGUGAGUAACACGUGGGCAACCUGCCUGUAAGACUGGGAUAACUUCGGGAAACCGAAGCUAAUGCCGGAUAGGAUCUUCUCCUUCAUGGGAGAUGAUCGAAAGAUGGUUUCGGCUAUCACUUACAGAUGGGCCCGCGGUGCAUUAGCUAGUUGGUGAGGUAACGGCUCACCAAGGCAACGAUGCAUAGCCGACCUGAGAGGGUGAUCGGCCACACUGGGACUGAGACACGGCCCAGACUCCUACGGGAGGCAGCAGUAGGGAAUCUUCCGCAAUGGACGAAAGUCUGACGGAGCAACGCCGCGUGAGUGAUGAAGGCUUUCGGGUCGUAAAACUCUGUUGUUAGGGAAGAACAAGUACGAGAGUAACUGCUCGUACCUUGACGGUACCUAACCAGAAAGCCACGGCUAACUACGUGCCAGCCGCCGCGGUAAUAC